ACGCUGGCGGCAGGCCUAACACAUGCAAGUCGAGCGGUAGAGAGAAGCUUGCUUCUCUUGAGAGCGGCGGACGGGUGAGUAAUGCCUAGGAAUCUGCCUGGUAGUGGGGGAUAACGUUCGGAAACGGACGCUAAUACCGCAUACGUCCUACGGGAGAAAGCAGGGGACCUUCGGGCCUUGCGCUAUCAGAUGAGCCUAGGUCGGAUUAGCUAGUUGGUGAGGUAAUGGCUCACCAAGGCGACGAUCCGUAACUGGUCUGAGAGGAUGAUCAGUCACACUGGAACUGAGACACGGUCCAGACUCCUACGGGAGGCAGCAGUGGGGAAUAUUGGACAAUGGGCGAAAGCCUGAUCCAGCCAUGCCGCGUGUGUGAAGAAGGUCUUCGGAUUGUAAAGCACUUUAAGUUGGGAGGAAGGGCAGUUACCUAAUACGUGAUUGUUUUGACGUUACCGACAGAAUAAGCACCGGCUAACUCUGUGCCAGCAGCCGCGGUAAUACAGAGGGUGCAAGCGUUAAUCGGAAUUACUGGGCGUAAAGCGCGCGUAGGUGGUUAGUUAAGUUGGAUGUGAAAUCCCCGGGCUCAACCUGGGAACUGCAUUCAAAACUGACUGACUAGAGUAUGGUAGAGGGUGGUGGAAUUUCCUGUGUAGCGGUGAAAUGCGUAGAUAUAGGAAGGAACACCAGUGGCGAAGGCGACCACCUGGAC
rnacentral:rRNA from 1 species